rnacentral:snRNA from 1 species
ACCUUUGCGCAGUGGCGAUAGCGUGACCAGUGAGGCUCUGCCGUGGUGCGUUUAUUGCUGGUUGAACAAUGUUCACAAAAAAAACCUUCGGUUCAAAAGCACCGCAAAAUCAAGAAGAAAAUCAACCAGAGCUCCGAAGCACAAGGACUGCCCUAGCAUAUUU